rnacentral:rRNA from 1 species
UACGAAGGGUGCAAGCGUUACUCGGAAUUACUGGGCGUAAAGCGUGCGUAGGCGGUUCGUUAAGUCUGACGUGAAAUCCCCGGACUCAACCUGGGACGUGCGUUGGAAACUGGCGAUCUAGAGUACGGUAGAGGGUGGUGGAAUUCCCGGUGUAGCAGUGAAAUGCGUAGAGAUCGGGAGGAACACUCGUGGCGAAGGCGGCCACCUGGACCGAGUACUGACGCUGAGGCACGAAAGCGUGGGGAGCAAACAGGG